rnacentral:rRNA from 1 species
CUUAGUGGCGAACGGGUGAGUAAUACAUAAAUAAUCUGCCCAUUGGACUGGGAUAACUGUUGGAAACGAUAGCUAAUACCGGAUAGGUGAUUUGAAGGCAUCUUCGAAUCAUUAAAGUAGGGUCACUACACCAAUGGAUGAGUUUAUGGCGCAUUAGUUAGUUGGCGGGGUAACGGCCCACCAAGACGAUGAUGCGUAGCCGACCUGAGAGGGUGACCGGCCACACUGGGACUGAGACACGGCCCAGACUCCUACGGGAGGCAGCAGUAGGGAAUUUUCGGCAAUGGGCGCAAGCCUGACCGAGCGACGCCGCGUGAGUGAUUAAGGCCUUCGGGUUGUAAAGCUCUGUUGUAAGGGAAGAACAUUCAGGAUAGGAAAUGAUCUUGAACUGACGGUACCUUACCAGAAAGCCACGGCUAACUACGUGCCAGCAGCCGCGGUAAUACGUAGGUGGCAAGCGUUAUCCGGAAUUAUUGGGCGUAAAGGGUGCGUAGGCGGUUUAUUAAGUCUAUGGUGAAAGUGCGGGGCUCAACCCCGUAUGGCCAUAGAAACUAGUAGACUUGAGUGCAGGAGAGGGCAAUGGAAUUCCACGUGUAGCGGUAAAAUGCGUAGAUAUGUGGAGGAACACCAGUGGCGAAGGCGGUUGCCUGGCCUGUAACUGACGCUGAGGCACGAAAGCGUGGGGAGCAAAUAGGAUUAGAUACCCUAGUAGUCCACGCUGUAAACGAUGAAUACUCACUGUUGGAGAAAUUCAGUGCUGCAGUUAACGCAAUAAGUAUUCCGCCUGGGGAGUAUGCACGCAAGUGUGAAACUCAAAGGAAUUGACGGGACCCCGCACA